GACGAACGCUGGCGGCGUGCUUAACACAUGCAAGUCGAACGGUGAGGCCCUACUUGUGUGGUUUGCUCGAGUGGCAAACGGGUUAGUAACCCGUGGGUAACCUGCCCUGUACGUUGGGAUAACUUCAGGAAACGAGAGCUAAUACCAGAUGGGAGCUCCUGCUGCUAGGUUGGUGUUGGAACGUUUCAUCGGGUGGGGAUGUACUCGCGUCUUAUCAGAUUGCGGGUGGGGUAGUGGCUUAGCAAGGCUUUGACCGGUAGCCGGCCUGAGAGGGUGACCGGAAACACUGGGAUUGAGCUACGGCCCAGACCCAUCCGGGAGGCAGGAGUGCGGAAUAGUGUACUAUGGGAGGAAGCCUGAUGCAGCACCGCCGCGUGGGGGAUGACGGCAAUCGGGUUGUAACCCGCUUUCGCCUGUGACGAAGCGUGAGUGACGGUAAUGGGUAAAGAAGCACCGGCUAACUACGUG
rnacentral:rRNA from 1 species